GUCCACCGAGAAACGCUUCUGCCAGGCUUUCUCUUCAAAACUUAAGAAAAGCCUCAUCCUGCUCAAGACCUUUGUGCUCUCUUGCUGCUGAUUCUCAAUCUCCUCCUGUGUGUUAAGAAGAUCAAGUUGGGUCAUUUGUUUUCAGACUGUUGUCGACCCAGGAUAUGGAGCAGGUUUCAGUGAGGAAAAAAUAUUUUCAUUUACUUGGAGAAACAAGAGAUGGGUCGGGACCGUGUCACAUACACAUCCGGCUACAGAUCGGACGUACGCCAGAGCUGGUACAGCAAUAUUUACAGUGGAUGAAAUGUAGCCUACAAACGUGGGCAGUUAUUCACAGUUGCCUGCCAAAAUUCUGCUGACUAUUACUAUAACACACUCUUUACAGUCUAAUGUGCACAAUUAUUGUCAUUCAUAUAUUGAGUUUGACAGCAUUAUUAGGUAAAAUAAUACACUCAAGGCUUUUAACUUGUAUGUCAGAUCUGAUAAAUGACACAGACUAUUGUAUUUUACUUUUAAUGUGAAUUUAAAUGUGUUUAAGUGGUUGUAAUUGGAAUGUUCAGUAUAGCAUUAAAUAUAUAAGUUGUAAAAAUAAAUACACACAUAAUACAGUAUACAGGUUAUGUUAUUUAAGUUGUUGGAAAUACGAACAUACUUUGGACUUUGGUUAUAUUUAUUGAUCUCUCUCAGGUGUGCCAUUUGAUCAUAAGUAGAUUUAAUUUGCACUUUGACCUCUCGGCAUAUCUGUUUGUCAUUGAAAAUGAUAA